CCCUUAGAUGAUUUGGGCUGCACGCGCGCUACACUGACCCUAACAAUGAGCAACUGUCUGGCCUGAGAUGGCUGGGUAGCCUUUUCAACCCAUGUCAUGAUUGGGCUAGAUUUUUGUAAGUCUUGAUCUCUAACGAGGAAUCCCUAGUAUGCGUGAAUCAUCAAUCCAUGCAGAUUAUGUCCCUGCCCUUUGUACACACCGCCCGUCGCUCCUACCGAUUGAGUGAUCCGGUGAGGCUCUGGGACCUGGACGGAAAGAGCGUUUCGCUUGUUCUGUUUGGGAAACUUGGUCGAACCUUAUCAUUUAGAGGAAGGAGAAGUCGUAACA
rnacentral:rRNA from 1 species